UAACAUGCCUGGCAUGUGUCAAAGUCAGGAAGAAAACAGCCCCAUCUGCCAUCAAAGCAUGUAGUUCAUUACCUGUUUGUUAUACUUCAUCUAAAAAUAGAGGAGCCCCAAAGCAGGUACACUGCCAUUGCAACAAUCAGAGAGGAGGAAGCAAUACCAGUCAUUACCAACAUGUCCCUCUCUUUUGAGCAUAUGUGGGUAUCACUAUUACAUGAUACACAACAAAAAAUGACAGUCGCUCGAUUCUCUUUGUCUUGGCUCUGUCCCUGCAGGCAACUCUCCCACUAACAUGUGGAUUCAUAAAUAUAUUAACAAAAAAUGAGUUUACCAGCUGGAAAUAAUUAAACAAUCCUAAUCUAUAUUUACUGAGAUUAUACUAUGUGUAAAUGCUCCUAGAGCCUUCUAUUCAUUGAUAGAUGCAUUCAUUCAUUCAUUCAUUCAUUCAUUCGAUAAACAUUUAUUUAUGGCCAACAAUAUUAUGGUCAUAGCUACUCAAGGAGGACCCAUAGAUAGAUAUAGAUAGAUAGAUGAAUUUCAGGACUUGUGACGCUCCCAUUCUAGUGGAGGAAGACAAGAUAAACAUUAAAAGUACAGACUAUGUUAAGUGGUGAUCACUACAAAGGAGAAAAGUAGUAAUACAGCAGGAGGCAGGCCACACAAAUCCCUGCAGACCAGUUACAGAUUUCAGUCUCACUCUAGGGAGCAACAGGAAGCCACUGAAUGGUUUAAGCAGGAGAAAGUCAUGAUGAUGUCUGCAUUUGAAAAGAUCUACUGGUUGCUGUCAGCAGAGUCCAGUGUCGGGGAUGUGCUCUGGAAGCAGGAAGACAAGUUAGGGUGCUGCUGCAAUAAAACAAGUGACAGAAGGCAGCCUCUUGGACAAAAGUGGUAGUAAUGGUGGAGACUGCGGAAUUUUAGAAGGAUUUGGUAUAUCAUGAAGGGGAGAAAAUCAGCAGAUUUGACAAUUGAUUGGAUGUGAGAAGUGAUAAACAAUUUUUUCCUGAAAAAAACCCCCCAUAAAAACAAUAAAAAUACUCUCGGAUUCCAGUCUUUGAAGCCAAUUUUGGGGGUAUUCUUGGUUAAAUUUGGAGCCCAUUCUUGGAUGCCAGUGUGGUUGUGAGGUUGAAAAAUGAAGUCUGUCUUAGGUUUAAUGUGAACUGAAAGGUUUAUUUU